GGAAUAGAUGUGCUGAAUGUGACCCCAAAUGCAGAAGACCGAGGUGUUGACUAGAAGAGCUCUUUGCUAAUAACUACUCCAGACCAUAUCAUUAACCAUAUGAACAUGGGAAAGGUAUUAGGCAUAUCAUGUUGGAUUCGGAUGUGACUGUCCCUUUGACUCUAUGGGAUAUGGAACACCCUUCUGGUGGAAGGUCUCUCCAAACCUGGAAUGGUCUACCUUUAAUACCACCUGUGGUUUUGGCAGUAUAGAGGGGAGAAAGAAAGAAAGA